rnacentral:rRNA from 1 species
UACGAAGGGGGCUAGCGUUGCUCGGAAUCACUGGGCGUAAAGGGUGCGUAGGCGGGUUUCUAAGUCAGGGGUGAAAUCCUGGAGCUCAACUCCAGAACUGCCCUUGAUACUGGAAGUCUUGAGUAUGGGAGAGGUGAGUGGAACUGCGAGUGUAGAGGUGAAAAUUCGUAGAUAUUCGCAAGAACACCAGUGGCGAAGGCGGCUCACUGGCCCAUAACUGACGCUGAGGCACGAAAGCGUGGGGAGCAAACAGGGA